GGCUCUGUGGCAGGGAGUGGGAGGGUGAUUAACAGGGGAAGAAUUAGGAAAGAGGACACGCAAGACCACAGUAAGAGAUGGAAAUAAGAGAAUAUUCCUGAUUUCCACUGGAUGACUUUGACUGGUAUGAUUUCAUUCUCUGAAAGUGUUAACCAGGGUGCAGCAUGGCCAGAAACCAUUCCGAGCCUCAUGAAGUGGGCAAGUCAGGUUUGGUCAUUUUUGGUAAUGUCAUUGCAUGUACACAGUUUAAGACAGAGCAUCUGGUGAUUCUCGGACCUUCAAGCAAGUGUCACAUCUCAGGUGAACCUUGGCAGUUUUAAGAUGAACAAAGUAAUCAAAGCAAAAAUGUCAAAUAAUAAUAAUAAUAAUGAUAUCAGAAGAAUGUCCAGUGCCAUGGUUGGAUUCCCAGAAGGCAGCAUCUGCUCAUGCCAUCAACAACAUGGUGCCAUUUCAGUCAUCCUCUUUUUGUCCCAAAGACAGAAAAAAAAUAGAAAAAAGAAAGAGAAAAAGACACCACGAACCGUCUAUCCUCCUGGUAAUACAAAUACACCUGUAAAUAAACAUGUCAAUGUCUACACACAACGCACAUUUAUGCAGAAUCCAUCCUCUCGGUGCUUCCGUAGUUAUCAAGUAAAAGUCCUUCUAAGCCUAAGAAAUGAUAGUAUUAAUUCAGUCUUGGGGUGUGGGGGGAAAGGUGGACUAUCAUCAAAUAAAAAAGGCGAGGCUAAUUAAGUGACAUCCACUGGGGACUGGGAAAAGAAGAGACUUCUUGUGGGAAAGUAAUUAUAUCUUCAUUGACCCUCCUGGGGUACCCCCAGUGGCAGGGACUCUGCCUCGCGGUGUGACAUCUCCUUUCGGGAUGAGCAGCCAGUCACCUCGAGAAGCCCCCUUCUCCAUGGAUGCGUUUUCUAAUCAUUUCACAUGAUUGAGCCUCCAGCAAGUGAUGCUUUACUUAAUUCCUUUCCGCCUGUAGGGUGUGAGGUUUGGAGGGCCUCUCGUCAAAACUUUGGAGGGCUCUGUCAGUUUGAAAAGAACAUGACCUUUAAAUUGUAUCAGUAUGUUUGCUGGUGCAUAAGGGAGAGGAAAAGGUUCGUCCUGAUGGAAAACCACUCAGAAGCCAAGGAGUAAUUCAGAGGGAACCAGCCCAGGAAGAAUCAAGAAAGCUGCCCACAGUGUCAUUCUUCAGCUGAGAAAAGAGAGAGUUGACUAACUCCUCGGACUGGAGUGAGGACUCACAGAGGUGGUGAGAAGCCAUCCUCUCUUGAAUGGGGGCUCCCACUGUACAUCUGGCACCCACUUCACAGAUUCUGGGGGAUGUCAACACCAGCACUGCUGAGCUGUGUGACCUUGAGCAAGACAGUUAGCCUCUCUGAACCUCAGUGUCCUUCUCUGUAGGCUGGAGAUUGAUAUACCUUCAUUAUCGGGGUAUGAGAGUGUUAUAAGGUGGGAUGGUGGAACACGCUGACUGGUCUGGGCUAUUCAAGAUCCAUGAACUGGAAGAUGCUUUCUUAUAACUCAGAGAAAAGAGAUGAAAAUGAAUCAAAGAACAGGAAGGAGACAAGCUCAGGAGAGUCACCCUAAGAAGGAUGUGUGGAAGACUUGACUGGAGGAUCAAAAUGUGUCGGGGGAAGGUGUACAAGGAGGAGUAAGGACACAGAUGUCCUGACUUCACACAGUGGGGGAUUAGAAGCCACCAUCAAACACAGAUGAAACAGGAAUAAAAGUAGUAGUACAUUACUUAAGCUUUAAAAGGGUAAGACUCCUGGGAAUUUGGAAGCUGAGACUUGAGGCAAGUAUUUAGGAUUUGCUGUCUCACCUCCCUGCUAUGACAGUCCUUAAUUAAUGGAGAUGAUGGAGAACAGCUUGCUGGGCUGAGUGGCAGGAGCCAUGCAGCUGCUGGGGCUGGAGUGGGUCAGGAAGCUUCAUCAAUCUGGGACACAUGACGUGCUUGGUGGUGGCGGAGCCUGACGCAUCCCUCUUCAUCGACAUUGUGUCAAUAGGAGCAGAGGCAUUUAGCUGUGUAAACACAGAGCUUCAGUGGCAGCACCCUAAAUGCUUAGCUGAUAGAUCCGGAAUUAAAUACAGACCUAGAAACUGGAGUUGGAAAACUUCCUGGCAGCACUCCUUCCCUGCCAUCCCGGUGAUCCCCUUCUGGAUGGAGGGUGUGGAGCUCAGCACAUUCACGUCUGCAGGCGUUAUACUUAUAACUUUACAGGGAUUAUCUAAUUCAUUACUGAAACAACAUUGUGA
rnacentral:lncRNA from 1 species